rnacentral:rRNA from 1 species
CCCACCUGAUCCCAUCCCGAACUCAGAAGUGAAACGAAACAGCGUCGAUGGUAGUGUGGGGUCUCCCCAUGUGAGAGUAGAACAUCGCCAGGC